AAUGGCUACGAUCACCUUCUAAAGAAUACAAUUUUCACGACAGUUUAGAAGAAGUCCAGAACAUCGAGCAAGUUGAUGAAGAGUAUCGAGACUCACCUUUGAAAAUUAAUUAGCCAAUUUCAUUCACGAUGCACCAUCUGUGUGAGAAUUGAUAAGAAAAUAGAACCAGAUAUGCAGAUUGCUUCCAAUAUUAUGUUUAUUGAGUUUAAUUGAGAGAUGAAGCAACUUCAGUUGUAAUA